UUUUUCUGUUUUUAAGCCCUGAGCCCAAGACCAGUUACACACUGAAGCUAAGCAGGGCUGAGCUUGGUCAGUGCCUGGAUGUGAGACCACAUUGCAAAACUAGGUUGCUGUUGGAG
rnacentral:rRNA from 1 species